AGUGAACGCUGGCGGUAGGCCUAACACAUGCAAGUCGAACGGCAGCACAGUAAGAGCUUGCUCUUACGGGUGGCGAGUGGCGGACGGGUGAGGAAUACAUCGGAAUCUACUUUUUCGUGGGGGAUAGCGUAGGGAAACUUACGCUAAUACCGCAUACGACCUACGGGUGAAAGCAGGGGAUCUUCGGACCUUGCGCGAUUGAAUGAGCCGAUGUCGGAUUAGCUAGUUGGCGGGGUAAAGGCCCACCAAGGCGACGAUCCGUAGCUGGUCUGAGAGGAUGAUCAGCCACACGGAAACUGAGACACGGUCCAGACUCCUACGGGAGGCAGCAGUGGGGAAUAUUGACAAUGGGCGCAAGCCUGAUCCAGCCAUACCGCGUGGGUGAAGAAGGCCUUCGGGUUGUAAAGCCCUUUUGUUGGGAAAGAAAAGCAGCAGGUUAAUACCCCGCUGUUCUGACGGUACCCAAAGAAUAAGCACCGGCUAACUUCGUG
rnacentral:rRNA from 1 species